AGAGUUUGAUCCUGGCUCAGGAUGAACGCUGGCGGCGUGCUUAACACAUGCAAGUCGAACGAUGAAGCCAGCUUGCUGGUGGAUUAGUGGCGAACGGGUGAGUAACACGUGAGUAACCUGCCCUUGACUCUGGGAUAAGCCUGGGAAACCGGGUYUAAUACKGGAUACGACCUUCCCGCGCAUGCGGUGUUGGUGGAAAGCUUUUGUGGUUUUGGAUGGACUCGCGGCCUAUCAGCUUGUUGGUGGGGUAAUGGCCUACCAAGGCGACGACGGGUAGCCGGCCUGAGAGGGUGACCGGCCACACUGGGACUGAGACACGGCCCAGACUCCUACGGGAGGCAGCAGUGGGGAAUAUUGCMCAAUGGGCGCAAGCCUGAUGCAGSGACGCCGCGUGAGGGAUGAAGGCCUUCGGGUUGUAAACCUCUUUCAGUAGGGAAGAAGCUGACCUUUUGGGGUUGGUGACGGUACUUGCAGAAGAAGCGCCGGCUAACUACGUGCCAGCAGCCGCGGUAAUACAAGRRSG
rnacentral:rRNA from 1 species